rnacentral:rRNA from 1 species
UACGUAGGCAGCGAGCGUUGUUCGGAGUUACUGGGCGUAAAGGGUGUGUAGGCGGUUGUUUAAGUUUGGUGUGAAAUCUCCCGGCUCAACUGGGAGGGUGCGCCGAAUACUGAAUGACUUCGAGUGCGGGAGAGGAGAGUGGAAUUCCUGGUGUAGCGGUGAAAUGCGUAGAUAUCAGGAGGAACACCGGUGGUGUAGACGGCUCUCUGGACCGUAACUGACGCUGAGGCACGAAAGCGUGGGUAGCAAACAGG